CCUACGGGCCGCACCAGUGGGGAAUAUUGCACAAUGGGCGCAAGCCUGAUGCAGCCAUGCCGCGUGUAUGAAGAAGGCCUUCGGGUUGUAAAGCACUUUCAGCGGGGAGGAAGGCGUUAAGGUUAACAACCUUAGCGAUUGACGUUACCCGCAGAAGAAGCACCGGCUAACUCCGUGCCAGCAGCCGCGGUAAUACGGAGGGUGCAAGCGUUAAUCGGAAUUACUGGGCGUAAAGCGCACGCAGGCGGUCUGUCAAGUCGGAUGUGAAAUCCCCGGGCUCAACCUGGAACUGCAUUCGAAACUGGCAGGCUAGAGUCUUGUAGGGGGGGGUAGAAUUCCAGGUGUAGCGGUGAAAUGCGUAGAGAUCUGGAGGAAUACCGGUGGCGAAGGCGGCCCCCUGGAUAAAGACUGACGCUCAGGUGCGAAAGCGUGGGGAGCAAACAGGAUUAGAUACCCUCGUAGUC
rnacentral:rRNA from 1 species